UCGAGAAUAUUCCACAAUGGACGAAAGUCUGAUGGAGCGACGCCGCGUGCAGGAUGAAGGCUUUAGGGUCGUAAACUGCUUUUAUUGAGGAACAAUUUUUGAGCGUACUCAAUGAAUAAGGGGUUACUAACUCUGUGCCAGCAGUAGCGGUAAUACAGAGACCCCAAGCGUUAUCCGGAUUUAUUGGGCGUAAAGCGCAUGUAGGCGGAUAUACUAGUCAGAUGUCAAAUCUCUGAGCUUAACUCGGAAACUGCAUUUGAAACGGUAUAUCUAGAGAAGGUGAGAGACCAGUGGAAUUCAUGGUGUAGUAGUGAAAUGCGUUGAUAUCAUGAGGAACACCUAAUGCGAAGGCAUCUGGUUGGCACCUUUCUGACGCUGAGAUGCGAAAGCGUGGGGAGCGGAAGGGAUUAGAUACCCCGUAGUCCACGCCGUAAACAAUGCAUACUAGAUG
rnacentral:rRNA from 1 species